GACGAACCGUCCGAACGUUAUUCGGAAUCACUGGGCUUAAAGGGUGCGUAGGCGGCGCAGAAAGUAGGGUGUGAAAUCCCUCGGCUUAACCGAGGAACUGCGCCCUAAACUACUGUGCUCGAGGGAGAUAGAGGUGAGCGGAACUUAGGGUGGAGCGGUGAAAUGCGUUGAUAUCCUAAGGAACACCGGUGGCGAAAGCGGCUCACUGGAUCUCUUCUGACGCUGAGGCACGAAAGCGUGGGGAGCGAACCGG
rnacentral:rRNA from 1 species